GUGCCAGCCGCCGCGGUAAAACGUAGGAGGCUAGCGUUAUCCGGAUUUAUUGGGCGUAAAGCGCGUGCAGGCGGUUUGAUAAGUUGGAUGUGAAAUCUCCCGGCUUAACUGGGAGCGGUCGUUCAAAACUAUCAGACUAGAGAUUGGGAGAGGGAGGUGGAAUUCCGGGUGUAGUGGUGAAAUGCGUAGAUAUCCGGAGGAACACCAGUGGCGAAAGCGGCCUCCUAGACCAAUUCUGACGCUAAGACGC
rnacentral:rRNA from 1 species